rfam:Camelus ferus unplaced genomic scaffold scaffold765, whole genome shotgun sequence.
GAGGGCAUAGCUCAGUGGUGGAGAACAUGCUUAGCAUGCAGGGGGACCUGGGUUCAACCCCCAAUACCUCCA